rnacentral:rRNA from 1 species
AUUGAACGCUGGCGGCAUGCCUUACACAUGCAAGUCGAACGAAGUCUUCGGACUUAGUGGCGGACGGGUGAGUAACACGUGGGAACGUACCUUUUGGUUCGGAACAACUCAGGGAAACUUGAGCUAAUACCGGAUGAGCCCUUAGGGGGAAAGAUUUAUCGCCGAAAGAGCGGCCCGCGUUAGAUUAGCUAGUUGGUGAGGUAAAGGCUCACCAAGGCUACGAUCUAUAGCUGGUCUGAGUGGAUGAUCAGCCACACUGGGACUGAGACACGGCCCAGACUCCUACGGGAGGCAGCAGUGGGGAAUCUUGCGCAAUGGGCGAAAGCCUGACGCAGCCAUGCCGCGUGAAUGAUGAAGGUCUUAGGAUUGUAAAAUUCUUUUACCAGGGACGAUAAUGACGGUACCUGGGGAAAAAGCCCCGGCUAACUUCGUGCCAGCCGCCGCCGUAACAC